UACGAAGGGUGCAAGCGUUGUUCGGAAUCAUUGGGCGUAAAGCGCGCGCAGGCGGAUUAAUAAGUCAGGUGUGAAAUCUCGGAGCUCAACUCCGAAACUGCGCCUGAAACUAUUAGUCUAGAAUGUCGGAGGGGGCAGGGGAAUUUCACGUGUAGGGGUAGAAUCCGUAGAGAUGUGAAGGAACACCGGAGGCGAAGGCGCCUGCCUGGACGACUAUUGACGCUGAGGCGCGAAAGCGUGGGGAGCAAAC
rnacentral:rRNA from 1 species